UCGCUGGCUCCGGUGUUCGUCGCAGCGGCAGUUUGCCGCAAUGAGCGACAAACAGUUUAUGCGUUGUUUGACGCCCGCAGCCGCAGGUGUCAUAUACUGAUUUUACAUUUCCUUUGCACCCGCUCUUAAUCGACGAAGCUUUCCUGCACAUCACAUAAAAUUAAGUGUACUUAGGAUUGAUUUAGUGCAAUUGCAAUAGUUCUGCACCUGGUAUAUCAUGCAGUAGCUAGCUCUAUUUUUCUUUCUUUUCAAUGCAAUUGAUGGUUCAGUUCAGUUCAUCGUUAGGGCCUAAAAUCAAUGUUUAGUAAUAAAAUUUAGUGAUUGUCCCAUGUAAACUUGAUUUUCUGGUUGCAGGUUUAUUGUCUGUCUUGGGUGGUCAUUGUAGCAGUAGUGUGUGUACUGGACAGCCUUCAGCCACCGUCGUUUACCUCCGACUCAUCGGCCAGUCGCCGUCGUUUACCUCAUGUCUCGUUGGACCGCCGAACAGCACAGUCGUCUAACACUGUCUCAUCGGGCAGCCACCGCCGUCUACUUCUGCCUCGUCGUUAAUUGUGUGCUAGCAUUUCCUCCCAAGAACUUGUUAGGUUAUUCUAACUCGGCAAUGUAACCAUGAUCUUGUUUUCUGUAUAUGGAUUUUUUUAGUGAUUUUUAUUUUCAUUUUAUUUUUCAUGGUGCUACCAUGAUUUAUUUUAUUUUCAGGUAUAAUUUUUGAACAUUUUUAUUUAUUUUUCCCUAAUGGUCAUGGCGUUAGAGCAGACUACUAGCGGGGUGAGGAUGUUCUGCUU
rnacentral:lncRNA from 1 species